rnacentral:rRNA from 1 species
AAGAGAGAGACAUGCGCGCAUAUCAAUAAGCGGAGGAAAAGAAACUAACAAGGAUUCCCUUAGUAACGGCGAGUGAAGCGGGAAGAGCUCAAAUUUGAAAUCUUCAAGGUUCUACCUUGACGAAUUGUAGUUUAUAGAAGUGUUUUCUGUUAGUGGAGUGGCAAAAGUUCUUUGGAAUAGGACAUCAUAGAGGGUGAGAAUCCCGUAUUUGGUCAUUCCUCCUAGCGUUGUGAUACACUUUCAACGAGUCGGAUUGUUUGGGAAUGCAGUCCAAAAUGGGUGGUAAAUUUCAUCUAAAGCUAAAUAUUGGCGAGAGACCGAUAGCGAACAAGUACCGUGAGGGAAAGAUGAAAAGAACUUUGAAAAGAGAGUUAAACAGUACGUGAAAUUGUCAAAAGGGAAGCGUUUGACACCAGUGUUGUUUUUCCGAAAAUCAAUUACGAAUGUUUUAGUUUUUGAGGAGUUAUGACUUCAUCGGCUUGCUCCUUUCUUUACUGAAACUUUCUUAAUGCACUUUUCGGUUAACAAGUCAACAUCAAUUUCUUUUGUUGUAAAAGGGUAUGAGGAAGGUGGCUUUCUUUUCGGAGAAAGUGUUUAUAGCCUUGUGCCUCUGCAAUCGGAGAGAUUGAGGUCUGCAGCGUAGAUCCUUCGGGGUUAGAUACAGUUUGUGCUAAGUUAUAGCUUUUCAUAGACAACUUGUUGACUAUGUUUAGUCUUGUAGCUUACUCGCUGACGCUAUUUUACCUACGCUUAGGAUGUUGAUAGUCACAGCGUGUAC